rnacentral:misc_RNA from 1 species
UUCUUUUUUUUUUUUUUUUUGAAAAAUCAUUUGCAUCUGUAAUAUAAAUAUGCAGACGGCAUUGUUGGAGUGAAAUGAUGGUGUAUUUUGGGAGGGUGUUACUGUUAUACGUUGCUCUUUUCACAAGAAGCCUCUUCAGGUUGAUUUUCUAGGCCUGUUUUUGUGGUUCUUAUUCUCAUUUGGUGUCAAAAUUCUCUGUUAACA